rnacentral:rRNA from 1 species
CCUACGGGAGGCAGCAGUGGGGAAUAUUGGGCAAUGGGCGCAAGCCUGACCCAGCAACGCCGCGUGAAGGAAGAAGGCUUUCGGGUUGUAAACUUCUUUUAAGAGGGAAGAGCAGAAGACGGUACCUCUUGAAUAAGCCACGGCUAACUACGUGCCAGCAGCCGCGGUAAUACGUAGGUGGCAAGCGUUGUCCGGAUUUACUGGGUGUAAAGGGCGUGCAGCCGGGAAGACAAGUCAGAUGUGAAAGCCCGCGGCUCAACCGGGGAACUGCAUUUGAAACUGUUUUUCUUGAGUACCGGAGAGGUCAUCGGAAUUCCUUGUGUAGCGGUGAAAUGCGUAGAUAUAAGGAAGAACACCAGUGGCGAAGGCGGAUGACUGGACGGCAACUGACGGUGAGGCGCGAAAGCGUGGGGAGCAAACAGGAUUAGAUACCCUUGUAGUC